rnacentral:rRNA from 1 species
GGAGGGUGCAAGCGUUAAUCGGAAUUACUGGGCGUAAAGCGCGCGUAGGCGGUUUGGUCAGUCGGAUGUGAAAGCCCUGGGCUCAACCUGGGAAUGGCAUUCGAUACUGCCUGACUAGAGUAUGGUAGAGGGAAGUGGAAUUUCCGGUGUAGCGGUGAAAUGCGUAGAUAUCGGAAGGAACACCAGUGGCGAAGGCGACUUCCUGGGCCAAUACUGACGCUGAGGUGCGAAAGCGUGGGGGAGCAAACAGGAUUAGAUACCCUGGUAGUCCACGCCGUAAACGAUGAGAACUAGAUGUCGGGAGGGUUGCCCCCCUUCGGUGUCGCAGCUAACGCGUUAAGUUCUCCGCCUGGGGAGUACGCCGGCAACGGUA